CUGUGUGCUCCCUCCCAUUGCUCUCUGUGUGCUCCUCCCAUUGCUCUCUGUGCUCCCUCCCAUUGCUCUGUGUUCUCCUCCCACUGCUCUGUGUUCCCUCCCACUGCUCUGUGUGCUCCUCCCAUUGCUCUCUGUGCUCCCUCCCAUUGUUCUCUGUGCUCCCUCCCAUUGUUCUCUGUGCUCCCUCCCAUUGUUCUCUGUGCUCCCUCCCAUUGCUCUCUGAUCCACUGUAAGCAAGCAAGUGGCCUCUGGCUUUCCCUGCCAUGGAGCAACCUAUUGCCACGCCUUCCUCCUUAUGAUGGGCUGCAUCCCUUCAAACCACGAUCCAAAGAAUCGUGAAUGAGUUGUCUCCAUCAGAAAUCUGCUCACAGCAGCAACAAGAACAAAAGAGGCAACUAUAGACCAUGGAGUGUGGAUGGAACUUCAGCUUGGAGAUAUGAGGUUCAGUCCUGAUGUGAUGGGGAGAGUGUUCUGUGUUCUGAUAUAACCGGCGAAGCAUAAGAACUGAGCUCUCAGUGGCGUGAUGGUGACCGAGGGAGAUGGACUGUGGUGGAUAGAAUUCUCUGCACUGCACAGAUUUAAAACUGUUAUUGCUAAAAUGUUUAUAAGUUUGGGUCCAGUGGACUGGCUCAGCAUGUGAAAGUUAUUGCAGCACAAACUGGGCGACCUGAGUUCAAUUCCAAGGUCCCACAUGAAGAAGGAGGAGAGGAAGAAAAGCCACUGGACUCCCUCUUCUACUCACAUACCAUGUCAUGCCCAAACAAAAGAAUUUAAAAGUGAAUUUUAAAGGGAGCUUAAAAAUUAUUAA
rnacentral:lncRNA from 1 species